AUGCUUUGGAACGGCUCCACCAAGAAUUAUGACCCCUGUCUUCCUUGGGCUUGCAUGAAUGGCUUCACCAUUUAUCAGCCUUAUAUCUGCAAAACCAUUCAAGCAUUUGAAAAUGAACACAAAUUAAGAAUAUCAAAUAAACUGGAACUUACCUUGUACAAUGUCGAUAAUAAGACCAGGAUUGUGAGCUGCAUGACAAAACAGCAUGUCUCCGAGCGUUCCAUCUGUCAAUGUUGGGCACUACACAGGAAUAUUGUUCUGGUCGAUUUUAACGAGUCAACACUUUGCAACUUCAGUCUUUGCACAAAUAGUUCUUGA
rnacentral:rRNA from 1 species